GUUUUGAUAAAUCUCCCCCAGCUUUCCUAGAGCUCCCGGAAUGUUCUUAGUCAGGAAGAUCCGGAAAGCCUUCAGCCUUAAGCUUUCAGAAAAAAUAGGAAAAUCCGGUAAAAUGAAAAGCAUUUUAUCUUCAUAUAAGCCUUUGAGAGUAAACACUGUACACAUUGACCGCCCCGACGGCCGCCGACUCUAUACUAUAGACCCUUUCGAAGAGGAUAGAUGGAUAGACUGUAUCCGUGUCGCCAACGUCCUUUCUCGCUAAAGCAAUGAAAACCGAUGAAGUGUUGAACGUCUCCCAAAUUCUUCAGCUCCAUCCCAGCAGCCCAGGACUCUCCGGAGUACUUCUCAUUGUCAGCUCUAGUAAAAGUGAUUAAAUUGCUCUCCCGAGUCCAGGUACUUCUUACCAAUGUGGUUGGUGUAAUUAAAAACAAUCGUCAUCUCGGUGCAGCUCCGAGGUCUGUAAGAUCCGUGGUAGGAAACUGAUCUACAAAAGGUUUGUGUUUUUUUAGAGAAGAUGAAAGCUUUUCCUCAGUAGACCGGAAUGAAAUGAAGGAAAGAAUAAAAAAGCCCCAUCAGACUAAACGCUGGGAGAUCUGCCAAGAAUAAACUUGGAAAUUGCAUUUAAAAUCACAGCUGUGAAGUGAACUUUGGGAAACCCUGGGCGAGAAGGAAAGUUAGGUCCUUGGGGGCCAGUAAUGAGACGAUUGCAGGGAUGAUGGGAUCGGAGCAAUGUCAUGAUCAGUGAGUUAGAUUCUUUGUUAGAGAUACAUGAGCCUCCUAUUCAGUGGUAUUUGCUCCUUGCCCAUAUAUAACAGGGUGAUCUUUGAGUUCUGCGUGAGGUCACAGUACACUUAUUUUUGAAAUAUGGAAUAAGACAGGACUAUCAUAAUAUCUAUAACAGAGCUGACGUCUUAUAAGCCCUACAACUAAGUGAUCGACCAAAGGGGCCAUUUAACCGGUUGCUGAUCUGUAACAAGUGAGAUCAUUGGUCAGGAGGGUGGGUAGAGGGAGUGCUGUCCUAGUGCAGAAACCGAUUUUGAAGACAGCAACGGAAAACGGUGCAAUUUUUUAUACUCCAUUAUAGCUAUUUUAAAACCCAAAUACAUAUUUGGUGUUACCAAGAAAAGACUCAAUUCAUUAUCUAAUGA